GAUAUAGCUGAUACAUUUGGAAGCAAUGCCGAUUCUUUAAUUGAUGUUGAAACUGUUUGACCUGAUAAAGAGAAUCCUCUGACACUGUUACAAGCAUGACACAAUGGUUUCCUCCUUAACGACUCAAAUGCUGGCCACAGGUUAAAGUUGAUAGACAAGGAAGAAUAUGGAAUGAUGACACAUUUUUAUUUGGGUUUCUUCCUAAGCAUUGCCACACAAUUGAUACACAUUUGCCAGGGUAUCCAUGCAUUAUUUUCUGCAUGUAUUCACAUUUGGUAGACAAUAUAAUAAACAAAGAAAGUGGCAUGUUACAUGGAAGUAACCAGCAAAAAUAAACAAAGAAACUGAAUAUUAUCAGUUAGAAAGAGCAGGGGAUCCUUGCUUUUCAAUGAAUGUUUAAUAGCAAAUAUUUCAGUAAGUAAAUCCAUUUGUUUUAUGUAGGCUAUUUGAUUUUGUUUGUUGAAAUGACACAGAGUUCUCUUUGCUGUCA